rnacentral:rRNA from 1 species
CUAUACAUGCAGUCGAGCGGACAGAUGGGAGCUUGCUCCCUGAUGUUAGCGGCGGACGGGUGAGUAACACGUGGGUAACCUGCCUGUAAGACUGGGAUAACUCCGGGAAACCGGGGCUAAUACCGGAUGGUUGUUUGAACCGCAUGGUUCAAACAUAAAAGGUGGCUUCGGCUACCACUUACAGAUGGACCCGCGGCGCAUUAGCUAGUUGGUGAGGUAACGGCUCACCAAGGCGACGAUGCGUAGCCGACCUGAGAGGGUGAUCGGCCACACUGGGACUGAGACACGGCCCAGACUCCUACGGGAGGCAGCAGUAGGGAAUCUUCCGCAAUGGACGAAAGUCUGACGGAGCAACGCCGCGUGAGUGAUGAAGGUUUUCGGAUCGUAAAGCUCUGUUGUUAGGGAAGAACAAGUACCGUUCGAAUAGGGCGGUACCUUGACGGUACCUAACCAGAAAGCCACGGCUAACUACGUGCCAGCAGCCGCGGUAAUACGUAGGUGGCAAGCGUUGUCCGGAAUUAUUGGGCGUAAAGGGCUCGCAGGCGGUUUCUUAAGUCUGAUGUGAAAGCCCCCGGCUCAACCGGGGAGGGUCAUUGGAAACUGGGGAACUUGAGUGCAGAAGAGGAGAGUGGAAUUCCACGUGUAGCGGUGAAAUGCGUAGAGAUGUGGAGGAACACCAGUGGCGAAGGCGACUCUCUGGUCUGUAACUGACGCUGAGGAGCGAAAGCGUGGGGAGCGAACAGGAUUAGAUACCCUGGUAGUCCACGCCGUAAACGAUGAGUGCUAAGUGUUAGGGGGUUUCCGCCCCUUAGUGCUGCAGCUAACGCAUUAAGCACUCCGCCUGGGGAGUACGGUCGCAAGACUGAAACUCAAAGGAAUUGACGGGGGCCCGCACAAGCGGUGGAGCAUGUGGUUUAAUUCGAAGCAACGCGAAGAACCUUACCAGGUCUUGACAUCCUCUGACAAUCCUAGAGAUAGGACGUCCCCUUCGGGGGCAGAGUGACAGGUGGUGCAUGGUUGUCGUCAGCUCGUGUCGUGAGAUGUUGGGUUAAGUCCCGCAACGAGCGCAACCCUUGAUCUUAGUUGCCAGCAUUCAGUUGGGCACUCUAAGGUGACUGCCGGUGACAAACCGGAGGAAAGGUGGGGGAUGACGUCAAAUCAUCAUGCCCCUUAUGACCUGGGCUACCCCCGUGCUACAAUGGACAGAACAAAGGG